UGAAUAUCUGUGUAAUAUAGACGAACUCCAUGUGACGCAUGAUCAGAUGGAGCUGGACUGUUUUCUUACACUGGUGAUGUGAGAGAUGCUGCUGUAAAAUGUGUGUCUUGAUGUCAUGAAGCUCUUCUGUCAUAUUUAACUUCAUGUUCUGACAAAAGUGUUCACUGGUAGUGCCAAAAAUGAAACUCAUCAUGCUGAACCAAUGCAAGUGUAAAAGAGUGAGUGGGAUUUAGCCAUCUGAGCAUGAAGGAGAUUGUCUGCUGCAUCUUAGUCGUACAGACUAUCACUUAAAAGUGCCAUUCUUUUUAAAGCACAAACACUGGUAAUGAUGACUGUAUCAUAACCUUAAAAUCAUAGUACCACAAAACAUCCCAAAAUGGAGGGACCCCCAAGGGUAAUCAAGUCCAACAACCGGCUCCACACAGACCACCCAAAAUCCAAACCCUACGUCUGAAAGUGGUAUUCAAAUGCUCCUUGAACUCCAGCAGCUUGGGUCCAUUCCCGUUGCCAUGGGCAGCCUGUUCCAUGCCCGUCCACUCCCUGUGAGGAGCUGUAGCUGCCAUCAGGCCUCCCCUUGGCCUCCUCUGUCCUGGGCUGAACAAACCAAUGGGACCUCAGCUGCUCCUCGUAUGUCUUGCCCUCUAGAUCCUUCUCCAUCUUCCUAGUCCUCCUUUGAAUGCUUUUUAAUAUUUUUAUGUCGUUCAUAUGUUGGGGCAUCCAGACAUGCACACAAUGCUCAAGGUGAGGCUGCACAGCACUGAGCAGAGGGGACAGUCCCUUCCCUUGCCUGAUGGCAGUGCUGAGCCUGAUGCACCCCAGCUGGCAAUAAGCCACAUAACAUACUUUGAAAGAAGGAAGCAUGAAGGCUGUGGAGCAGAAAGGAUAGGGUUAUGGAUAACUGUUUUCCACCUGAUGAAUUCUUCAGGUUGUGGGAGUAGAUCGGUUAUUUUUUCAUAUGCAUCUGUGCAUGCCUGUUUCUUUCCAUGAAUAUAACAGUAGGAAUCGUUUUUCACUGAGAAAAGCAAAGUCAAGAGGUUAUGGGGCCCAAGAAACCCUCCUGAGUAUAGCAGGUCAAGCUGCUUUAUCACUGCCCUCCACCAGGACUGUUCAGCUAUGAGAGAUUCUCCUGUAAUGGUACAAAUUGCAAGAAAAAUCCCUGCUGAAACUGCUGCUGCUGAGAGGAAAAGCUUUGCAUAGGUAGCCCCUUGUUUCUUUCUCUGCAACAUGCAUUGUGAUAAUCAAUAGCACCAUGUAACUUUUUUGUUCUGAGAAGUGCUCCUUUCAUCAAACCAGUGCUAUUUCCUCACCAGGAUGCUUCUGCUGUCCCACCAGCAUCUCUUGAUGACUGGGCAAGGAUCUGCACAUCAACCUGAUGGAGCCCAUGAAGGCACACCAACUCUGAUGCUCAGGAACAGAUCAGUGAUGACAGAUGACAAGAAGAUUCCUGGGUUUUCAAAUUUUAAUGCCAGCUGCCUCUUGUCAUUUUAGCUGUGUCCCUUUAACUUAGAAUAUUGUGUUAUUUGGAUAAAAACUUGCUGCAUGCAUUGUAAUUUCUAGUUCAAUGUUUUGGAUCAUGAGUUCCUUGUCCAAAGCAGAAUAUGCAAGAAAAGUAGCUCACGUGACUUUUUAAAAAUGUUGAUUAACCUUCAAACUUGAUUUUGACCCAGAGGCUUGGGAAAUAUAUUUCUUAGUGUUUUAUAAGCCCUAUGUUGUCACAACAGAUUUAUCAGCGUGUCAAGCAGGCUCCUUCUUUCAGAUUCAUUUGUUUGUUUCUUUGAUUCCCAAAGGCUGUCACAUUGGGAAACAUUAAUUAACAGACUGGCUAUUUCAAAGGCAUAAUGCUGGCAGGAGCUGGCUUUAAAGGCUGAUGUCUUUGACCAGAGCCAAUCCAAGAUCGGCUUCUGCUUUGGAUAAAGCUACCUGCUUGUGCUACUGACAUGUCCUACUCACCCGCAACACUUUUGGGGUUGCUAAACCUUCUGGAGGGGUUUCAGGGUCAGGUGACUGCAGAAGCCAUCUUCUUCUCAAGAAAAUGCAAAUAGCAUACAGCAUCCGCUGUGAGCUGUAAUCAGCUUCAUGGAAUUAAGCUUUAAUCUUUAUCUGCUAAUACUUCAUAUUUUCUUGUUGACUCACUGAAGGGAAAAUUUCUUUUUAAAAAAACUUUCUUAAAUGGAAAGACACACAUACAUAAUGGUAGCAGAGGGUUGCACUGGCCCUCUACAGCCAAAAUUGAAGUACUUGCUUGUUUUCUCUGGACUUAGAGCUUUUCUCUUCCUGUGAUGAUAAAGCCAGGAAGGCUCCAGAGCAUCUACAGCUGUAUGAGUGCUUGUGGCUAUUGUACAGGAGCGCAGCAAUUAACCCCAUGUUUUGUACCUACCUUGGGUGGCUACACGUGCUUCAAACAGAAAUAGAAAAAUAUAACUAUGCUUCCCAAACCCUGUGCCUUAGCAAUGACAUGUUCAUCACAGCUGCCACUUGACAUUCUUUGCAACAGAGAGGCACAAUGUUUAGAAAAAUAGCUGCAAAAUCACCAUAGUAAUAUUCCCAGACUCUGCAGUUUCACAGGAGCAUUUUAUACCACUCUUGUAGAAUUCUGACUGCUACAGAUUUCACCGUGGGAGACUUUAAAAGAAAAUCCGUAUCCAAUUUGGUAGCACUUUAUUAUAUCAUCAGUUACCUAUAAGCAUGCUUUAUUGCUUUAUUUAUCAUAUGCUUCCAUAUUGUUCCCAUUUCAGGAACAGCAUUUUAAAAUGGGAAUUUUUCUAAGUAUAUGAGUUGUUAAAGCAUGCUAUAGUUUAUCCUAUCUUUUCCACAGGAAUAUAAGAAGGAGACAGUGUGUUUUACAUUACUGUGUUCUUGCAGUGAGUUUACUAGUCUUCAUGAAGAAUGUCUUGAUGAAAUUAAAUAGGUGGAAAAAAAUUUCAUGGAGUGUGCAAAUGAAAUAGCCAGGAAUAAAUCCAUUUAUGCAAGACUCACACUGAGAGGCUGAUGAGCUUUGACAAUUGGAAUAAAUUAUUUUGGCUAGAAGGAGAUUCCAUCUUUUCAAGACAGGACAGCAUUGAACCUUACAGUAGUUUUCAGUUUGCAACCGAACAAAACAGCUUUAUGGAAAUGACCGGGUAACCUUGUCCAUAGUGACCUUGUAUCUGUGCCAUAUAAGCAUGCUCUCCUGCACUGUGUGCUUUCUACCAGUUCACGCCACAUAAUUGCAGCUGAUGAAGUGAUGUCUUCUUUGGCUGAGCAGCAUGGUGAUUGUUGCUGGCUGACAUGUGGUACAUGACUGAAGGCCCAACACCACAUAGCCUAAGUCUGAACAGCUCUACUCUGAAAGUCCCAAGUGAGGGUCUGUAGCUAAGCAUCAUACCUAGUAACUAAAGAGAGACAAGGCUCUCUCCCCAAGACCUCCUGUGCAAAUCUGGCAAUUUAUUUCCUUGAUUUUUUUACCUUCUUCUACAUUGACUAGCAAUGCUACUUUCCUUUCAGCUAGUGGCCUUUUGUUUAGAUUGGCUCUGUCUGGGCUAAAAAUAUUCUCUUGCUGUAUAUUGUACACUGCCUUAAGGCAUUACUGUGAUGCACACAAAUAAUUAUAAAAAAUAUUUCAGUCUUAAAGGAUAGUUUUGGUCAUAGGCGGUAGUAAUAUCUAUAUUUAUCAUCCUGUAGUCUCAACAUUUCUUGGUGCAGUCUGCCUCUGAUUUUUGGUGCUUGAUGUUCCCCAUCAUUUACAUUGGUUUUACUGUAUAAUUGUUUCUGCUUUAUUCUCAGAGGAGAAUUGAACUCCCUUUAUGUGUACAUUCCUCCCUUUAAUAUUACUCCUUCCUUAAAAUAACCAAACAGUUCCUUCCUCAGAUCCAAACUCUGCAAAAGAAUCUGCAGAAAAAGUGGUAUAUUCUAAAAUGGUACAUUUAUUAGUUUAGAAUUAGAUGUACACACACAUACAUGUCCAUACAUAGUAUAGUAGCAUUCUUAGAACUAAGUUUUCAUGAAAAUAGAUUGUCAGUAUUUCACGACUGAAUGGUAUUAUCCUUUUCAAUUGUUAAUACUAUUGUUUGACAAGUAUUUUUGAAGUAUGACAACAUUGUACUGUUUUUUUUUCCAGCCCCCUGCAAAUAAGUCAUCCUCUCCGAUGACAUCAAGUUAACUGUGGGCCGACAGAUAUGGAACCACAGGCUGGAGAAAGUCCUUCAGUUAUACAUUCAGAACAAAUGUUAUAAUGUGCAAUGCAGUCAACAGCUCCUUUUUAAAGAAAAACAGUGAUUAGCUAGUACCAGGUUGUUAAUACUAGCAGUGUUCUAUUGCAGUUAUAUAAGUUAAUUACUAGUAAAGGAAAUGACUCUCAUAAAUGGGGUAACAAAAAGAAUAGACAUAUUUUCUGAGGUUAGCUCAAUAUUUGAGAUAGGAAUCCCAGCUUAGGUGAUACAAUCUCUCAUUUAUAGGACAAUAAAUCCACACCAGCGUAGAUGUAAUCGUUGGGGUCUGGCUUAUAUGUAGGAAAUUAAAAGUAAAUUCUAUCCAUUUAUCUUAAUCACAGAUAGCUUGCUGCCUUCUCCAGAUGUAGGAAGCAUAGCCUACACUCAAAAGAAAAGCUUUCCAGGAGCCCGGAAAGAGUGAUGUUUUCCAUCCAUUUCACUUUGCUGCUGAUCCAUGUGAUAUUGUUGUAAAUGGUUGUCCAUAGGUAUCACACGAUUCUUUGUCAACAACACCAAACUGUCUGCUGUCCUAAUGAGGUGGUGUAUUGAGAUGUGUUGUAAUUAACAUAAAUAGAAAGUAAUCAAGUGACAAAUGGAAAAAGUGCCACUUCAAAACAUACCAUUCUGGUCCACAGCUUUUUAAUCCCUCGAUGCACUGUGCUGUGUGUGCUGACCUGAGAUGAAGGAAGCCAGACAUUUAAAAGUGCAGAGAACCCAGCUAUCUGCACACAUCCUUGCUCUGCAUACAUCUUGCUUGGGCAGUGCAAUUAGCAAGCAAUAAGGUAAGCCUCAGGUUAAAUGGCAACUAAAUAGACACUGAGAAAGGCCAGCAGUUAAUCUCUAUAACUUUCCUCUGCAGCAUAAAUGAAGUUUCAGUAAAGACAAGACUUGCAUUGUUUCUGAUGUCACAAAUAUUAUCAGUAGAAAAUGCAUUGUAAGCUCUGCAAUUAAAUCCUAUAUUUGAAGCAAUCAAGCAAUUAGAAGAAAAUUGUUUUCUGUGCAUUUACCGAGACGUAGAUGUAGAUCUGGUCCUAACUGUGGAAUUAUGGGCCUCAUGAGAACAGCUUGUUUUCCUUACCAUUUUAUUUUUUUCUACUGUAAAAGUUUGACAUUAACACUGCCUAUUAUCACAACCAGUCACUGGGAGGAUAUGCCCAUGCAGAGGUGAGACUAAAAAUAUCUCUUAUCUGUACUGUGAACUAGUUCUGGGGCUGAGCCACUGGAGGGGUUCUUUGGAGCUAAAAAUAAACUUUGGUUGAGCACAGCUCUGCACAUCUCCAUGAUAACUCCAGUGGGCUACUUGACAAAAUUAUUUUCUCGAAAAUUAUUGAUGUCAAACAAGUUAACAGGGAACCCAAAGGACAUUUCUAUUGCUUAAAGAUCAUAAAGAUAAGGGUGGCAGUGGAUGGAGUAAAAGGGCUGCAUUGUUGUGUUAUGUUUCUCAGGAGGCUGACAGCCGUUACAGUCACCCAUGCCCUACUGAGCACUCUGAAGCUGGGCAUGCCUCCAAGAGAAGGGGGUGGCACACAGCCCCAUCCCCUUCCCAGCAUGGGCUGCCGGCCCAGCUGGUCUCCAACUCAAAGUGGGGCCAACAGCAGUCGUUACAGUGUGGUCGUUACAGCCCUACUGGAUGGUCAUGGAGCUCCUGGCCUUCAAGCCCUGUGAGGAGGAUGGAGGAAGUCCCAUAGCUGUGAGUCCAGACAAGGUGAGUCUGACAAUAAUUUGCGGACUGGGAGCUGCUCCUCACUGGCAUGCUUUGGGAUUCUGAAGAUGUGAAACCACCAUGGUGCUUGCUGGUGAUUGGUGAUUGCUGAGGAAAAACAGCUAGCUGUAAGGAAAUUGCUCCUGUUGUACAGAAAAAGGACCCAAGUCACAAGUGAUAGAAAAAUGAGUAACAGAAGUGCACCCUGGAUGUCAGUAGAGAGUGGACUGUGAUAUUCUUAUCAACUUAUAUUUUCCUUUAAACAUUUUAGUGUGUGGCUUAUGAACUCAGAGAAUCCGAUGGAGAGCUUAUUUGAAAACUCCUGUACCUCAGCAAAGCAUGGUCCAUCAGUAUAUGAAAUCCUAAGUCUUCGUCAGCCCCAAAGGACUUUUCUUUAUGAAUAGUGAGUGAUGCAUUUCUCACAGGUGACAGAAUGGAUACAAGGCUUAAAGAGGAGUUGCAGUGAUUAAGAGCUGACCUGAAGAAUGGGUGUAAGGUUCAUAUUUCAAACAUAGAUGUCAGUGUGGAAAAGGAAUAAGAACAUGAUGAGAAUAAAAAACAAGGCUAGAGUCAAGGCUGGCGCUGCUGAUGGAACAGAUGGAAAAGGUGGCAGAUGAAAAGAGCUAGGAUCAAGGCUGACUGUUGCAGUCUAAAGCAAAAAUAUACAACACAUUUGAAUUAGCUGUACUCCACAGGGGAAAUAUGGAUGGUAAAAUCAAAAUAACAUGAGAGGAGAAAAGAUUCCAAUGGCAAUGCUUUGGAGAAACAGAUGGAAAGCCAGGCAAGGAUAAAGACAGCAAGAAAGAAGAGAGGUGAAAUGUAAGUAGAAAAUAAUUAGAACAAGAAUGAGAAAUAUAUUCCCUGGAACUGAGAUGAAGUGAUGGACAUUUUUUAUCCCACUGAAACAAUGGGAAGGUCUUGGCACUUCUAAAGAGAAGACAUUGCCAGACAAGAACUAUAGGUUUUGUAUAUAUAGUCUAAUCUGAAAGGAUUCCUUUUUUUUUUUUUUUUUUCUCCCUGGAAUCUUAAUAAUGCCAUUUGCUAUAAUCUCAGUAGGAAAAACUGAAGUAAUCUGUAGCGGAUUUUCUACACACAUAGAUAGCUCUACAUGCAUGGGAUUUUAUCUGCAAAAUAAAUUUAACAUUUCUUGCAAAUAGCUUGCAAGUAACUCACAUAAAUAUAAUGAAUAAUUCCCAAUUCACUAUAAAUUCCUCAUAUUUGUUCAUCUAAACAAGUACAGUGAAAGCUAUACAGCAAAAGGAACAUAAGUUUCCUGAUUAUCACUAAUUAUUUCACAUUAUUUAUACCACUGGAUAGAGAUGUCUACUUUCAUUAUCAGAAUCGCAUCAUAGGAGUUAGCAUAAGCUAUUUCUUAGUGCCGAUCAUCACCAGGUUUAUGUACUGUUAAUGAGAACAGGACAUGUUUGUUAAUCAGCAGAGGAAGCAGAAUGAGCAUGGGAGAUCAGGAUGUACUUUUUAUUUUUAAAAGGACUCUUGAGAUACAGCAUGAACAUAUGGGACUAAACAGUUUAAGAAAGAUUUGGAACUCAAAAUUUUGUUGGUAUUUGCAAAGGUUUUUCAGAUUUCAAAAAUCCAAAGACAAUAGUUUUUGCAUAGGGAAGAAUUUCUCGACCAGCCAUAGAAUCAAAGGCUUCAUAUGUUUGUGCAGCAUUUUUGCACCCUGCAAACAUGGCAUAUUCACAUCAUUUUUUCUAAUAAAUAUUUUUACUGUGAAAAUUAUUCCAAGCAUAUAAAACAAAGAAGGUAAGGCCAGAUGGGACCACCAUAACCAUUUAAUCUGAGUCUUGCUAAGCAUGUACUUUGCAUACAGAAGUAUGUACUCCACAGUCAUUCCUGACUGGUAAGUAUAUGGAGUAAGCACUACACGUUUCUGACUUUGAAGCUCAAAAUUCCCCUUUGUGAGUAAUUCCUAAGUUUCUGUCUAUGUCUUCUGUGCACCAGCUGAAACACGAAUUUCCUUGAACCCUCUCAGCCGGGUCUGUGCCAGGAUGAAUCACUGAGGAUAUGUGUUCCAGAUAAACUCCUUUUUAUUUUGGACUAGUACAUAGGUUAGCCCUUUUAGCUUCCUCACCAGCCUCUGCUGUGUGUUCAGACUAUCAUCGAUUGGAAUCUACUAGAUCAAAUACAGCCAUUAUCAUAUCUCGCACCCUUUGCAAUAGGUAGUAAAUCUCUCCCAGACCUUCUAUGAAAUCUGGAUUAGGUACUUAGCCUUUUUAGGGGGUUGACAUCUUAUUAUUGGAUAUCUGGCCUUCUGUCAUCUGUCUUUGUUUUCAUUGUUAUUGCACAGCUAUGUUCCUUUCAACAAGUGAUUGAUGCUUAUUAUUAACUGUUCCCCUGUUGAUGCUUUGUUCAGAUUCAGAACUAAUGCAUUUUUAUAUGAGCUUUUAUUGUGGAUUUAGAAGAAUGCAUGUGAAAAUAUAAUCUGAUUUUACUUGCCUCUUGCUGGAUUCUUUUGCUUUUCUUGUGAAAAAAAAAAAAUGAAUAUAAUUCCCAGUAAUGUGUCUAAUUUUUAUUUUAUGUGCAGUGUUAAUGAGUAUGUCUAUUCUUAGUACACGAUCAUAAAUUAUUAUCAACUGUAAAUUCCUUUUUUUCUCCAUUGCCCACUUGUAUCUUUUCAAUUAGCAUAGGACUUUUAAAAAAUGUACUAUUGCAGAAAGCUUUAUUUUAUCAUUAGCAUUUUUCCUUGUUAAUAAAUUCUGAUUAAACUGCUUUCUUGCUGAUUCACUAGCCCAUGUUGUCCUUUUGGAGUUACUCAUCUCAGUUGAAAACUUCUAUUUUUUGCUGGCACCCCAGCAUAUGGCCACAUAACUAUUAAUUUGACAUUCUUUUUUUCUACGUGUUCUGACAUGACAGUACAAUAUUAUUGUAUUAUAUAUAAUUGGAAUAUUAUGCACAUACAUGGACACACACACACACAAUUAUUUAAUGGAAGCAUAGCAAAUCAACGGCCAGAGCUGUGACUGCCUGGCAGUUAUUAACUCACCACAGAUAAGCUGUGCAAAAAAUCCCAGCUGUAAUUGGUAAAUAAAUUCCUAUUCUGGUCACUGUUACAUGACCUAACUGCUACUUGAUGUUCUGUAGGGCUCAGAUUUGACUCAGGUGAGUUUGCCUGCCAUGUAGUGCCUGCUACAGCAGGAUCCAGAGUCAGUUUGGCAUUGGUAAUAGUCCAGGAGAAAUAAUUAAAUCACAUUUUACUACCUAACCAGAUAAAACAUAUAUCACCAUGAAUUAUUCUUACCAUUUCUGACAAAGGUCUCCAUGUGCAUGUGGAACAGUGCUGUUCUCUAAAAUAUAACACAAUGAAAAAAACAACAAUAAACAAACAAACAAACAAACAGCUGAAAGAUUUAAAUCCUUUCCGUACCUAUAAUGACAAUUAGUUCAAAGAGUGGGGGUUUUGUAGUUUUCAACUGGCACCAUUGUAGUUAUGUUUUUAAAAAUACUUAAGUUCAUUAUGCAGCUAGAAUGUGAACUCUGAAUUGGCAUAAAGGUUGUUUUUUUUUUUCUUUUCUUAUAAAAUAUUAAAAUACAAUAUUCCAGCCAUGAUCUUUGCUGUAUUUUAACCUCAU
ensembl:lncRNA